ensembl:lncRNA
UUUUGUAUUACACCCUUUUGUCUUUAUUUCAUAAAGAAAAGUAAAAAGUGAAUUAUGAAAACACCUCCAUUUUUUAUUUUAUUUUACCUUUAUUUUACUAGGCAAGUCAGUUAAGAAGAAAUUAUUAUUUUCAAUGACGGCCUAGGAACAGUGGGUUAACUGCCUCUCCCUGACCUCUCUUAGCCUGGAUGCCUGACUUGAUUUGGUGAAGGCUAGGGGGUAAGGGUUAUGGGGGUAGAGGCUAGGGGGUAAGGGCUAGGGGGUAGAGGCUAGGGGGCAAGGGCUAGGGAGUAAGGGGUAGAGGCUAGGCGGUAAGGGCUAGGGAGUAAGGGGGUAAGGGUUAGGGAGUAAGGGGGUAUGGGUUAGGGAGUAAGUGGCUAAGGGCUAGGGAGUAAGGGGGUAAGGGCUAGGGAGUAAGGGGGUACAUGCUAGGGGGUAAGGGCUUGGGGGUAGAGGCUAGAGUGUAAGUGGGUAAAGACUAGGGGGUAAGGGCUAGGGGGUAAGGGCAAGGCGUAGAGACUAGGGGGUAAAGGGGUAGAGGCUAGGGGGUAAAGGGGUAGAGGCUAGGGGGUAAAGUGGUAGAGGCUAGGGAGUAAAGGGGUAGAGGCUAGGGGGUAAAGGGGUAGAGGCUAGGGAGUAAAGGGGUAGAGGCUAGGGAGUAAAGGGGUAGAGGCUAGUUAGAGAUUAGGGAGUAAAGGGGUAGAGGCUAGGGAGUAAAGGGGUAGAGGCUAGGGGGUAGAGGCUAGGGAGGAAAGUGGUAGAGGCUAGGGGGUAAGGGCUAGGGAGUAUGGGCUAGGGGGUAAGGGCUAGGGGGUAGAGGCUAGGGAGUAAGUGGGUAAAGGCUAGGGGGUAAGGGCUAGGGAGUAAAGGGGUAGAGGCUAGGGAGUAAAGGGGUAGAGGCUAGGGAGUAAAGGGGUAGAGGCUAGGGGGUAAGGGCUAGGGAGUAAGUGGGUAGAGACUAGGGGGUAAGGGCUAGGGAGUAUGGGCUAGGGGGUAAGGGCUAGGGGGUAGAGGCCAGGGAGUGAAGGGGUAGAGACUAGGGAGUAAAGGGGUAGAGGCUAGGGGGUAAAGGGGUAGAGGCUAGGGAGUAAAGGGGUAGAGGCUAGGGAGUAAAGGGGUAGAGGCUAGUUAAAGAUUAGGGAGUAAAGGGGUAGAGGCUAGUUAGAGAUUAGGGAGUAAAGGGGUAGAGGCUAGGGGGUAGAGGCUAGGGAGGAAAGUGGUAGAGGUUAGGGGGUAGAGGCUAGUUAGAGGCUAGGGAGUAAAGGGGUAGAGGCUAGGGAGUAAAGGGGUAGAGGCUAGGGAGUAAAGGGGUAGAGGCUAGUUAGAGAUUAGGGAGUAAAGGGGUAGAGGCUAGGGAGUAAAGGGGUAGAGGCUAGUUAGAGAUUAGGGGGUAAAGGGGUAGAGGCUAGGGAGUAAAGGGGUAGAGGCUAGGGAGUAAAGGGGUAGAGGCUAGUUAGAGAUUAGGGAGUAAAGGGGUAGAGGCUAGGGAGUAAAGGGGUAGAGGCUAGGGGGUAGAGGCUAGGGAGGAAAGUGGUAGAGGCUAGGGGUAAGGGGCUAGGGGGUAGAGGCUAGGGAGUAAGUGGGUAAAGGCUAGGGGGUAAGGGCUAGGGAGUAAAGGGGUAGAGGCUAGGGAGUAAAGGGGUAGAGGCUAGGGAGUAAAGGGGUAGAGGCUAGGGGUAAGGGCUAGGGGGUAGAGGCUAGGGAGUAAGUGGGUAAAGACUAGGGGGUAGAGGCUAGGGAGUAAGUGGGUAGAGACUAGGGGGUAAGGGCUAGGGAGUAUGGGCUAGGGGGUAAGGGCUAGGGGGUAGAGGCCAGGGAGUGAAGGGGUAGAGACUAGGGAGUAAAGGGGUAGAGGCUAGGGAGUAAAGGGGUAGAGGCUAGUUAAAGAUUAGGGAGUAAAGGGGUAGAGGCUAGGGAGUAAAGGGGUAGAGGCUAGGGAGGAAAGUAGAGGCUAGGGGGUAGAGGCUAGGGAGGGGGUAGAGGAGGCUAUUGAGUAAAGGGGUAGAG